AAGAUUCCUAGUGGGAUUUUAGAAACUCGCAAAGAAGACCUCUGUUGAACACAGACUGCAGUUCCAGCCACCACAGCUAAUCUGGAUCAUGAAUGGGAGCCACCGUGGUCUUGGCAAGUCCGAAAACAUAGCUGAGUAGCUCGUCUAGAAAAGAGAUUUGUGUUCAGCUGAGUUAAAAGAAGUAUUUACCUCAAACCUCUCCUCUUGCACAACCAACCCCCGUUAUAAAAGGAAGUGCAAAAUGGAAUAAAC
rnacentral:lncRNA from 1 species